GGGCGUGUAACUCAGUGGUAGAGUGCUCGCUUUGCACCGCCUACGGCGUGGAAAUCUGCGAGAAGCCCAGGGUUCGACUCCCUGCUCGUCCA